rnacentral:rRNA from 1 species
AGAGUUUGAUCCUGGCUCAGGACGAACGCUGGCGGCGCGCCUAACACAUGCAAGUCGAACGGGACCAUUUUAGAGUUUACUUUGGAAUGGUUUAGUGGCGGACGGGUGAGUAACACGUGAGCAACCUACCUUUCAGAGGGGGAUAACAGUUGGAAACGACUGCUAAUACCGCAUAACGUUGUAAAAGGGCAUCCAUUUACAACCAAAAGAGAAAUCUGCUGAAAGAUGGGCUCGCGGCCGAUUAGAUAGUAGGCGGGGUAACGGCCCACCUAGUCAACGAUCGGUAGCCGGACUGAGAGGUUGAACGGCCACAUUGGGACUGAGACACGGCCCAGACUCCUACGGGAGGCAGCAGUGGGGGAUAUUGCACAAUGGGCGAAAGCCUGAUGCAGCGACGCCGCGUGAGGGAAGACGGUCUUCGGAUUGUAAACCUCUGUCUUUGGGGAAGAAUAGAGACGGUACCCAAAGAGGAAGCUCCGGCUAACUACGUG